rnacentral:piRNA from 1 species
UGUGCCUCAAUCCCUAUCGUUGGGGAUGCUC